GGAUGAACGCUAGCGGCAGGCCUAACACAUGCAAGUCGAGGGGUAUAAGAAGCUUGCUUUUUAGAGACCGGCGGAUGGGUGAGUAACGCGUAUGCAACCUACCUUUUACAGGGGAAUAGCCCGGAGAAAUUCGGAUUAAUGCUCCAUGGUUUAUAGAGAUGGCAUCAUUUUUAUAAUAAAGAUUUAUCGGUAAAAGAUGGGCAUGCGUAUCAUUAGCUAGUUGGUGUGGUAACGGCAUACCAAGGCUACGAUGAUUAGGGGUCCUGAGAGGGAGAUCCCCCACACUGGUACUGAGACACGGACCAGACUCCUACGGGAGGCAGCAGUGAGGAAUAUUGGUCAAUGGAGGCAACUCUGAACCAGCCAUGCCGCGUGCAGGAAGACGGUCCUAUGGAUUGUAAACUGCUUUUGUACGGGAAGAAAUGUAAUUACGUGUAAUUAUUUGACGGUACCGUAAGAAUAAGGAUCGGCUAACUCC
rnacentral:rRNA from 1 species